rfam:Aedes albopictus isolate Foshan contig143941, whole genome shotgun sequence.
UGCCCAGCAACUCCUAUCCCUACCUCCACGCGGUACCGGCCGGAAACUAUGAGCAACCUUAAGGAAGAUCGGGUAACCAACCCCGGUGGGAACUUUGGUCAUAGGCUGACAGGCAAGG